UAGUCCACGCAGUAAACGAUGAUUACUAGGAGUUUGCGAUAUAUUGUAAGCUCUACAGCGAAAGCGUUAAGUAAUCCACCUGGGGAGUACGCCGGCAACGGUGAAACUCAAAGGAAUUGACGGGGGCCCGCACAAGCGGAGGAACAUGUGGUUUAAUUCGAUGAUACGCGAGGAACCUUACCCGGGUUUGAACGUAAGAAGACCGGAGUGGAAACACUCUUUCUAGCAAUAGCUUUUUACG
rnacentral:rRNA from 1 species